rnacentral:lncRNA from 1 species
UUCAUGUCAUUUUUUUGGUCCGUCAAAGACAGGUUUUCACUAUAUAAUCCUGACUUGCCUGGAACUAACUGUGUAAACUUGGCUGGCCUCAGACUCACAGUGGUCCACCGGCUCUCGGCCUCUUAAGUGCUGGGAUUAAGGGCCUGUGUGACCACCAGUUGUUGAGUAACUUGGCCCUUAGUCAGCAAGGGGAUCAGAAGAAGCAAAGCCAAGCUGGUAGAGAAGCCAGAGGUAGAGAACAAGUAGAAGAGAAUCCUGGGCUUAGUGCUGUCCUUUAAAUUCACAAGAGUGCAUUGUUUUCCUAGAACAUAGCAAACCUCCAGCUAACUGCUGAGCGGACAGGUUACUUUCUGCAGGAGCGAGGUGUGCCAUGGUUCCCUGAUCUGAGGGCUCCAUGCCAACCAUUCUCUUUUGAGUAUGCUAUGCUAGCUUUUUUCUCCCUAGGUGUUAGAUUUUGCAUUCCAGGGAUAUCAUUGUGUGUAUGUAUUUAUGUAUGCGUACUUUGCUGUUACAAGUAAACAAACUUCAAUUUGAAGUGCACUCAAUAUGUGGUAUCCAUAUGUAUCGACCAUGUGCCAUAUAUCUACUAUGGUCACUAGCACGUCUUUAAUGAUGCUUGUUAUUACAUCGUCGCUUCUUUUUCAUUCAACUUGCAGAACUUUUGUAGAAUUCUUUUUUUCCCUUUACAUAUAAGUUCAUAUAUUUUUCUACUUCAGUCCUGUGAAGCUUAUCCCCAAUCACUUUUCUAUUAGUCUCCCCUCUGUAUAUGAGGGGAGUUAUUACAUAUACAAGGUUCUUUUGACAAUCAACAAUUUCUUAACUGUAAUAAUGUGUACAUUACUUAAUAAAGACUUGACAUGCUACCGUGGUGUAAAU